rnacentral:snoRNA from 1 species
GCAUGCUAAUGGAUUUAUGGUGUGCCCUUCUCUGUGGGCCUGUCAUAGUGUACCCAUGCCAGAGUAAACCGCAGCCCCAAACCAUUGCCCAGCCUCCUUACCUGUGUGCUGUGGGCACUGAAGGGGCUUGCACAGCG